AGUAAUUACAUUUAGUUAGAAAUGCGUGCAGCAGCACAUAAUAUUGAGUCAAUUGCAAUUUUAGUUCACAUCCGGGAAGGAGACAAACCCAUUUUCUCGAACCAGGCCCAGUACGUGCCAUCUACUAAACUGGGCCCCUAGAGUUAGGGGUGUUAGCAGGCCUGAAAACUCGAUCAUAAUGACAUCGACUGGGGCAGCCAAAACUUGGGCCUUAUCAUCUCGCAGAUCCCCAAAAAUUGCUGGGCUGGACGAAAACCUCCCCGUGCUUUGCAGUCUGCACAUCAGCACAUCCCGUCGCUAGCCGGCGCCGCCGCACCGCUGCACAGAUCGCACCACCCGCCGCCCUAUCGCGCGCUACCGCCUGCUCGCAUCAGCACUAGACGACGACCAGGGCGAAGGACAAAUCAGGAAGCAGAACGGAUUUGCAACGCGCCCCACCGUCUUCCAUGCUUGACACAACUGAUUACAAUGGACAAUCCUGUUUGCACAAUGCAAUUCUUCACGAGGAAGAAGAGGAGCCUAUAGGCUAGCCGUGCAGUGCAGAUAGUAACUUUGAUAGGACGAAUCGGCGAUGCUUGUAAAUUUUGCAGGAAGGGAAAGUCAGGUUCAACACAGAUUUCAUUUAUGAUUUUGCAUGACAAACAAGAGUGGUAUCAUCAUCAAUCUCAAUGAUUGGUACAUGUGCAAUUUUACACCAAUCUUUUCCACUGUUUUCUUGGCAACUCUCUGUCAGAAAAGGGCAUUCUUUGAUGUACAAUUCUUUCAAUGAUUUUGGAAGACGCGC